rnacentral:rRNA from 1 species
AGCGAACGUUGGCGGCGCGCUUAACACAUGCAAGUCGAACGCGAAAAGCCCUCGGGCUGAGUAGAGUGGCGCACGGGUGAGUAACACGUGAGUAAUCUUCCCUUUGAUCUGGGAUAACAUGCCGAAAGGCGUGCUAAUACUGGAUAAGACCACGCCCCCUGCGGGGGAUGUGAGAAAAGAUGGGGACCCGAAAGGGCCUGUCGUCGAAGGAUGAGCUCGCGGCCUAUCAGCUAGUUGGCGGGGUAAUGGCCCGACCAAGGCUAAGACGGGUAGCUGGUCUGAGAGGAUGAUCAGCCACACUGGGACUGAGACACGGCCCAGACUCCUACGGGAGGCAGCAGUGGGGAAUUUUGGACAAUGGGCGCAAGCCUGAUCCAGCCAUGCCGCGUGCGGGGACGAAGGCCUCGGGUUGUAAACCGCUUUCAGCCGGAAAGAAAUACGCCGUUUUUAAUACAGACGGUGGAUGACGGUACCGGAAGAAGAAG